rnacentral:rRNA from 1 species
UACGGAGGGAGCAAGCGUUACUCGGAAUUAUUGGGCGUAAAGGGCGCGUAGGCGAUUUGAAAAGUCUUGUGUGAAAGCCCCGGGCUUAACUCGGGAAGUGCACAAGAAACUGUUGAAUUUGAGUUCCGGAGAGGAAGGCAGAAUUCCCGGUGUAGCGGUGAAAUGCGUAGAUAUCGGGAGGAAUACCAGUGGCGAAGGCGGCCUUCUGGGCCAACACUGACGCUCAUGCACGAAAGCGUGGGGAGCAAACAGG